CAGGGAUUGCCUCAGUAACGGCGAGUGAAGCGGCAAAAGCUCAAAUUUGAAAUCUGGCCCCGUCGGGGUCCGAGUUGUAAUUUGUAGAGGACGUUUCGGGAACGGCAUCGGUCUAAGUCCCUUGGAACAGGGCGUCAUAGAGGGUGAGAAUCCCGUCUGCGACCGGUGACCUACCCCAUGUGAAACUCCUUCGACGAGUCGAGUUGUUUGGGAAUGCAGCUCAAAAUGGGUGGUAAAUUUCAUCUAAAGCUAAAUACCGGCCAGAGACCGAUAGCGCACAAGUAGAGUGAUCGAAAGAUGAAAAGCACUUUGGAAAGAGAGUCAAAAAGUACGUGAAAUUGUUGAAAGGGAAGCGCUUGCAACCAGACCUGUACGCCGGCGAUCAACCUCUGUUCUCAGGGGUGCACUCGUCGGCGAUCAGGCCAGCAUCGGUUCGGGCGGCUGGAUAAAGGCCUUGGGAACGUAGCUCCUUUCGGGGAGUGUUAUAGCCCUCGGUGCAAUGCGGCCCGCCCGGACCGAGGACCGCGCUUCGGCUAGGAUGCUGGCAUAAUGGUUGUAAGCGACCCGUCUUGAAACACGGACCAAGGAGUUGAACAUCUAUGCAAGUGUUUGGGCGUCAAACCCAUACGCGUAAUGAAAGUGAACGGAGGUGAGAACCCAUUGAGGGCGCAUCAUCGACCGAUCCAGAUGUCUUCGGAUGGAUUUGAGUACGAGCAUAGCUGUUCUGACCCGAAAGAUGGUGAUCUAUACCUGAAUAGGGUGAAGCCAGAGGAAACUCUGGUGGAGGCUCGCAGCGGUUCUGACGUGCAAAUCGAUCGUCAAAUUUGGGUAUAGGGGCGAAAGACUAAUCGAACCAUCUAGUAGCUGGUUCCUGCCGAAGUUUCCCUCAGGA
rnacentral:rRNA from 1 species